AGUGAACGCUGGCGGUAGGCCUAACACAUGCAAGUCGAACGGCAGCACAGUAAGAGCUUGCUCUUACGGGUGGCGAGUGGCGGACGGGUGAGGAAUACAUCGGCAUCUACUUUUUCGUGGGGGAUAACGUAGGGAAACUUACGCUAAUACCGCAUACGACCUACGGGUGAAAGCAGGGGAUCUUCGGACCUUGCGCGAUUGAAUGAGCCGAUGUCGGAUUAGCUAGUUGGCGGGGUAAAGGCCCACCGAGGCGACGAUCCGUAGCUGGUCUGAGAGGAUGAUCAGCCACACUGGAACUGAGACACGGUCCAGGCUCCUACGGGAGGCAACAGUGGGGAAUAUUGGACAAGGGGCGCAAGCCUGAUCCAGCCAUACCGCGUGGGUGAAGAAGGCCUUCGGGUUGUAAAGCCCUUUUGUUGGGAAAGAAAAGCAGCAGGUUAAUACCCCGCUGUUCUGACGGUACCCAAAGAAUAAGCACCGGCUAACUUCGUG
rnacentral:rRNA from 1 species